rnacentral:rRNA from 1 species
CAGCAGCCGCGGUAAUACGUAGGGUGCAAGCGUUAAUCGGAAUUACUGGGCGUAAAGCGUGCGCAGGCGGUUAUAUAAGACAGAUGUGAAAUCCCCGGGCUCAACCUGGGAACUGCAUUUGUGACUGUAUAGCUAGAGUACGGCAGAGGGGGAUGGAAUUCCGCGUGUAGCAGUGAAAUGCGUAGAUAUGCGGAGGAACACCGAUGGCGAAGGCAAUCCCCUGGGCCUGUACUGACGCUCAUGCACGAAAGCGUGGGGAGCAAACAGGAUUAGAUACCCCGGUAGUCCCUGUCUCUUAUAC